GAGGUCCUUAUAUUCAGGUCUUGUGUGUC
rnacentral:piRNA from 1 species